UACGUAGGGGGCAAGCGUUGUCCGGAUUUAUUGGGCGUAAAGAGCGUGUAGGCGGCUUGGAAGGUCAGCUGUGAAAACUCGAGGCUCAACCUCGAGACGUCGGUUGAAACCACCUGGCUAGAGUCCGGAAGAGGAGAGUGGAAUUCCAUGUGUAGCGGUGAAAUGCGUAGAGAUAUGGAGGAACACCAGUGGCGAAGGCGACUUUCUGGUCUGUAACUGACACUGAGGCGCGAAAGCGUGGGGAGCAAACAGG
rnacentral:rRNA from 1 species